AUAGAUUAAAUGAUUUAAUCCUAAUCACAUAUAUAAGAUCCUAUCUUAGACUACCACAUCAUGAUCUUUGAUAAGAAAAUAUGCACUUUAGGUCUAAAAAUAAAAAUCGCAUCGAUCUCAUCAAUGCGGAAAUUCUAGAUCUAACUAUUAGAUCUACCAUAGGAAUCAAAACAAGUUAGAGAUCGUUACUAAAUAAAUUUGAUCUUAAUUUCUUCUAGUUCAAUGGUUAGAGAAGGUAUUCUUUAGGUUGCUCACAGUCACACGGAGUCAUCUGGCCUC
rnacentral:lncRNA from 1 species